CCAGACUCCUACGGGAGGCAGCAGUGAGGAAUAUUGGUCAAUGGGCGAGAGCCUGAACCAGCCAAGUCGCGUGAGGGAGUACUGCCCUAUGGGUUGUAAACCUCUUUUGUCGGGGAGCAAAGAGGCCACGUGUGGUCAAAAGCGAGAGUACCCGAAGAAAAAGCAUCGGCUAACUCCGUGCCAGCAGCCGCGGUAAUACGGAGGAUGCGAGCGUUAUCCGGAUUUAUUGGGUUUAAAGGGUGCGUAGGCGGGACGGUAAGUCAGCGGUAAAAAGGCGGAGCUCAACUCCGUCGAGCCGUUGAAACUGCCGUUCUUGAGUGCGCGAAGGGUAGGCGGAAUGCGUGGUGUAGCGGUGAAAUGCAUAGAUAUCACGAAGAACUCCGAUUGCGAAGGCAGCAUACCGGCGCCAUACUGACGCUGAGGCACGAAAGCGUGGGGAUCGAACAGGAUUAGAUACCCCCGUAUC
rnacentral:rRNA from 1 species